GAUGAAGAUGUUAGAGAGCAUAUAGUGUUUGCGAUUGAAUAUGGGAAAUGACUCCACGAACCCUAAGCGGGUACCCCUCAAUCCCAACAGGGCUCAACUGCAACAAAAACUGAAAAGCGACGCGCCAAAGCCAUUUAAACCUUCAGUUGAUUCGGACAGACAAACCCAAGAAAGCGUAUUAGGGAAACGUAAAGAGAGAGAGGAUGCCGAACCCACUUCUCAGAAGUCUAUUCUCACUCCAGUCACGAAUGAUUGCAGGUGCUUCUCCAUUACUAUGUCUAUUCUUCUUCGUUUCUUUCUCAUGAAGAUACUGUUCUUCCCCUUAAAG